AUGGCCUGAGCCCCUCUCCUCUUUACGCUGCUCGCCCACGGCUCAGGUUCCGUGGUCCGGGCAGCGCUGACUCAGCCACCCUCGGUGUCAGCGAACGUGGGACAAACCGUCCAGAUCACCUGCUCCGGGAGUAGCAGCAGCAGCGAUGGUGUUGGCUGGUACCAGCAGAAGGUUCCUGGCAGUGCCCCUGUCACUGUCAUCUAUAGCAGCAACAAGAGACCCUCUGGCAUCCCUUCGCGAUUCUCCGGAUCCAAGUCUGGCUCCACAGGCACGUUAACCAUCACUGGGGUCCAAGCCGAGGACGAGGCUGUCUAUUACUGUGGUAGCUUGGACAGCAGCAGCAGCUAUGGUGUCUGGUGACAACAA